rnacentral:rRNA from 1 species
UACGGGGGGAGCAAGCGUUGUUCGGAUUUACUGGGCGUAAAGGGCGCGUAGGCGGCGUGGUAAGUCACUUGUGAAAUCUCCGAGCUUAACUCGGAACGGUCAAGUGAUACUGCUGUGCUAGAGUGCGGAAGGGGCAACUGGAAUUCUCGGUGUAGCGGUGAAAUGCGUAGAUAUCAGGAGGAACACCGGUGGCGAAGGCGGUUCUCUGGGAAUGUCCUGACGCUGAGGAGCGAAAGUGUGGGGAGCGAACAGG